rnacentral:tRNA from 2 species
GGUCCAUUAGCUCAACUGGAUAGAGCGGCCGCCUCCUAAGCGGCAGGUUGUGUGUUCGAUUCACAUAUGGGCCA